CCCCAUUCCUCAUAGUAUUUGUUAGGCAAGGGGACUACACGGAACAGGGUGGGAGAGUGGCCGUGAAGUUGCCCUCGUUGGGUGGAGCAUGCAGUGAGGGUAGAGAGGUGGGAGGGGCUGAGCAGGUGGUUGAUGGGCAUCUGGCUUUAUCCUGAGGCACCACAGAUGGACUUCCAUUGAGGGACCACACGGUGAGCCCCAGGGAGGCUGACAAGGACUUCCUCUCUCCUCCACCAGGACCCAAGGCCAGCUGCUUUCUCUCUGGAGCGCAGUCUUUGACUUGUACAGCCUGGAGGUUGUGUGACUCGUGGUUGGGCCUGUUUGGGAUAUACAGAUGACUCUUCAUAGAGAAGGCUUUGCCUCCUGGGUGAGCCCCUUGCUUCUUAGAGCUGGGCUGAGAGGUAACAGUGCCUGAAGCGUGAAUUUACUCUCUAGGGGGAGUUUGUCCUUGCUUGCCUCUGUGACUCCUUUAUCUUUCCCUCUCUGACACUUCUUCUGCUCCCAGAAGCCCCAACUCUGCCACUGGAGUGCCUCCCUGCCCCCAUACUGGAUUGAACUCCACUGAGAACACUCACCAAGCUCAGCCUGUUUGGUGGCCCUCUUCCUGCCUGCCUUCCCUCGCUUAAACACAGAGUUUGUCAGCCAGCCUGCCCUGCUGAGCCAGGUAUCCAUGUUGGUCUAGUGUCUCUGACCCUUUACCUUCACCUGGAUAACAGGCCAGACAACUUUCACAGGAUCUGGCCUACUUUUAGAGAAAGCUGACUCAGAGGGUCAUGUCAGCUCUGCAAAGGGUACCACGGAGACCAGAAUUGCUGUGGGGUUCCCUAGGGAGGGAGCGUUGCAGAAUCACUCUCAUAUUCUCUUUUCAAGACCUCUGUGGAGAGUGUCACCUACAGACAAACUGUCCUCCCUCAACCAGGCUGGUAGGGAGAGAAGACUGAGAUGUGGAAAGCUCUGGAGGAGACCUGGAGACCAAGCAAAAUCUUCCCAUGACUUGGGCGCACUGGGAAUAAAACUAACAUUUGAAAACCAUUUUACUUAAGUUUUUCUUUUGUCUUUUUUUUUUUUUUUUUUUUUUUUGAGACGGGGAGACGGGGUCUUUCCAUGCAAACUUGGCUGUCCUGGAACUUGCUCUGUAGACCAUGCUGACCCUGAACUCGAGAGCUCUUCCUGCCUCUGCCUCCAAGUACUGAGAUUAAAGCUGUUCACCACCCUGCCUGGGCUCAGAAGUUUUUACAAAUUCCACUUUCCUUUUUCUUAUUUAUUUUGUGGCACUGAAGAUGAGAUUUAGGGCUUUGAUGGGGCUGCAGCCUCAGCUUCCUUUUUUACAUACCUUUCCUUUACAUUUGUUUAAUCUACUUUUGUGUUUGCAGGCACAUGUGCCAUGGUGUGAGUGUGGAAGUUAAAAAAAGACAGCUUGGAGGAGUUGGUUCUCUCUUUCCACCUUGUAAGUUCCUUCCAUUGGGGUGGGGAGGUGUGGUGGAAGAGGGUGUGUCCCUGUGAUUACAGUGGCUACCAGAGUGAUGAUCAAGGGAGGAAAGAAGAUAGUUGGGUUUAACAGCACUAAGUAGCCAGUGUUGGUCCAAACUUGUGGACUCUGACCCCAAGUAAUUUACUCCAGGCAUAUUUAAGCAUAGCACAAUUCGGUGAAAAAUAUUCCUAGUGAUAAUUAGUUCCAUCUCACACGCACAAUAAAGCUUAAG
rnacentral:lncRNA from 1 species